CAAUAGCGUAUAUUAAAGUUGUUGCAGUUAAAAAGCUCGUAGUUGGAUUUGUGGCGUACAGUGUGUUCCGGGCACUUGUUGUCUGAGUAACCUGCUGUUGCCAUCCUUGGGUGGAACCUGUGUGGCAUUAGGUUGUCGUGCAGGGGAUGCCCAUCAUUUACUGUGAAAAAAUUAGAGUGUUCAAAGCAGGCUUAUGCCGUUGAAUAUAUUAGCGUGGAAUAAUGAGAUAGGACUUUUUUGCUAUUUUGUUGGUUUGCGCAAAGAGGUAAUGAUUAAUAGGGACAGUUGGGGGUAUUCGUAUUCCAUUGUCAGAGGUGAAAUUCUUGGAUUUUUGGAAGACGAACUACUGCGAAAGCAUUUACCAAGGAUGUUUUCAUUAA
rnacentral:rRNA from 1 species